AGUGAACGCUGGCGGUAGGCCUAACACAUGCAAGUCGAACGGCAGCACAGUAAGAGCUUGCUCUUACGGGUGGCGAGUGGCGGACGGGUGAGGAAUACAUCGGAAUCUACUUUUUCGUGGGGGAUAACGGAGGGAAACUUACGCUAAUACAUCAUACGUCCUACGGGUGAAAGCAGGAGAUCAUCGGACCUUGCGCGAUUGAAUUAGCCGAUAUCGGAUUAGCUAGUUGGCGGGGUAAAGGCCCACCAAGGCGACGAUCCGUAGCUGGUCUGAGAGGAUGAUCGGCCACACUGGAACUGAGACACGGUCCAGACUCCUACGGGAGGCAGCAGUGGGGAAUAUUGGACAAUGGGCGAAAGCCUGAUCCAGCAAUACCGCGUGGGUGAAGAAGGUCUUCGGGUUGUAAAGCCCUUUUGUUGGGAAAGAAAAGCAGCAGGUUAAUACCCCGCUGUUCUGACGGUACCCAAAGAAUAAGCACCGGCUAACUUCGUG
rnacentral:rRNA from 1 species